GCCGGGUGUGGUGGCACACACCUGUAGUCUCAGCUAUUCGGGAGGCUGAGGUGGGAGAAUCACUUGAACCCAGGAGGUGGAGGUUGCAGUGAGCCAAGAUUGUGUCACUGCACUCCAGCCUGGGUUACAGAGUGAGACUCCAUCUCAA
rnacentral:SRP_RNA from 1 species